rnacentral:rRNA from 1 species
UACAGAGGUGGCUAGCGUUGUUCGGAAUUACUGGGCGUAAAGGGCGCGUAGGCGGCUUGGUCAGUCCCGUGUGAAAUCCCUCGGCUCAACUGAGGAACUGCACGGGAAACUGCCUGGCUUGAGUUCGGGAGAGGGAAGCGGAAUUCCUGGUGUAGCGGUGAAAUGCGCAGAUAUCAGGAGGAACACCGGUGGCGAAGGCGGGUCUCUGGGCCGUAACUGACGCUGAGGAGCGAAAGCGUGGGGAGCGAACAGG